GAUGAACGCUGGCGGCGUGCCUAAUACAUGCAAGUCGAGCGAACGGACGAGAAGCUUGCUUCUCUGAUGUUAGCGGCGGACGGGUGAGUAACACGUGGAUAACCUACCUAUAAGACUGGGAUAACUUCGGGAAACCGGAGCUAAUACCGGAUAAUAUUUUGAACCGCAUGGUUCAAAAGUGAAAGACGGUCUUGCUGUCACUUAUAGAUGGAUCCGCGCUGCAUUAGCUAGUUGGUAAGGUAACGGCUUACCAAGGCAACGAUGCAUAGCCGACCUGAGAGGGUGAUCGGCCGCGCUGGAACUGAGACACGGUCCAGACUCCUACGGGAGGCAGCAGUAGGGAAUCUUCCGCAACGGGCGAAAGCCUGACGGAGCAACGCCGCGUGAGUGAUGAAGGUCUUCUGAUCGUAAAACUCUGUUAUUAGGGAAGAACAUAUGUGUAAGUAACUGUGCACAUCUUGACGGUACCUAAUCAGAAAGCCACGGCUAACUACGUG
rnacentral:rRNA from 1 species